rnacentral:lncRNA from 1 species
CGAGCUUCCAAAAUGGCAAAAACAAACAACAACAAAAAAACACCUCCAUUCUUUAGCAUGUUGCUCUAAAUUGUUUAGCUACCACUUUUCAAAGUGUUUAUGAAGGAAAUCAAGUCUAAUACACAGACAUUUCACUCAUUAGAAAAAUCACACAUUUUCAAGUGUCAAUUUAUUGCUCUCUGCAUUAGAAUUCAAACAUAGAGAAGCAAUAAUUGCUAUGGGAUGCAAUUUCUCGCUCUCUGUCCCAUGUGCCAGUGGCCAGCCCUCACUGAUACCUCUUCGGAACAAGCGAGGGGAUGGCAUGCCAGCAGCUGGAGCCUGAUCAGAGUGGGCCACAGGCCUGCGGUGCCAGCAACUGCAGCCCAUGGGGCCUCAGUGCCAGUCCCUGGGGCAGGGGGAUCUGUAACCUCCAUCCCCAGGGCAGGAGCUGUGCAUGUCCACACCCCACUGCAGGCCUGCACAAGUCCACAGCCCUGUGCCUGUGGCUGGGGCAGGAUCAGGGAGCUCAGAGGCCAGGCAGGCUGAGGAUGAGACAACUCACUGCUUUGAGGAACUUAGCCAACCACAGAAUCACAGAGUAAUGGAAUUGUAGGGGUUGGAAAGGACCACUGGAGAUCAUAGAGUCCACCUCCCUGUUAAAGCAGGUUCCCCACAAUAGGUUGCACAGGAAAGCAUCCAUGCAAGUCUUGAAUAACUCCAUAUAAGGAUACUCCACAACCCCUCUGGCACCUCCCUCGACCUGCUGGCCACGAUCUCUGUAACUCACCCCAGCAUACCAUUGGCCUUCUUGGCCACAAGAGCACACUGCUGGCUUAUGGCCAACCUGUUGUCCAUGAGGACCACUAAGUCCUUCUCUGCAGAAGGAGAAGUACCUAGAUCUGCUUGCUUUUAAUGAGUCUUCAAUAGCAGGAGGAUAUUUAUUUCUCUGACAAGUUUGACUUCAAAUUUGCAAGUUAAUCUAGUAUGUCCUUUUGUGUUGUGCUGCAUCAUACUGAAGAGCACUUCAGGACCUACGGAAAACAGAAUUUCACAAGGAGUGACAAGCUCAUCAAAAC